rnacentral:tRNA from 1 species
GGACAGAUGGUCGAGCGGUUUAAGGCUCCGGUCUUGAAAACCGGCGUGGGGCAACCCACCGGGGGUUCGAAUCCCUCUCUGUCCGCCA